UUUUUUUGUAUUCUAAAACAAUUGGUUCAGCUGUUAACCUAUAGCGCAGUAAAUAAUAUAUUAUUUAUUAGUUAAUAUAACGUCCAAUUUCAUUCAUUAGGAUCGUUCUUUAGGAUGAUGAUUGCUUUGCUAAUAGCUUUAAGCUUUUACGCUUACGUGUUAUCCAUUUUAUUGCUCAAAGAAUGGAAGAGAGGCGCGAUCAGUUCUAAGUACCAUAGGGCUAUUCAGCGAACUACGUGCUUGUAUCGUCGUUUACGCAGAGUUCCGUUUAAUGACAUCGCUACUGUGGAACUGGGCCUUGGACUCGAUCCAUUCUAGCAGUGUUGUUGGGGAAUCAGUUCACGCAUACGUUUGCAACUUAUACACGGAGAAAGUAUGUUCAUGAUACAUACUUUUUUAAUAAAUUUAUUUUUUUGUUCGUAAUUCUUGGGCUUAUUUCUGUAUAAGUAUGUACGUGGUAAAAAGUUAAAAUUCUCAAUAAAGUA